rnacentral:lncRNA from 1 species
CUAUUGGUAAUUGUUCUUUUGUAUAUUUUCUGUGUUGACAGGGAAUAAAUCAACUAUAUAUUUCAACUAUUUAUAUGCAUACAUUUUUUCUUCCAUCGAUUGCCCUUACGUCUUCUGUAGUUUAGUAUUUUUGGCAUCACCUUUUCUUAUGAUAUUGUGUUCUUGAACAAAUAGUGUGCUUUUAUUUGUGUUGUAACUUGUGGGAAGAAAUAUCAUACAAAAACGCCACUGCAUAACUCUUCUAUUUAUGAUUGACUGACGAUAUUGAAAUUGUAUAAAGUGUAAAACAUUAAUUAUGAAAAUAUAUUGUUGAGCUUGAAAAUUAUUUAGAAUUGGUUGUAUUUUUUAAUUAAUACGAAAUUCUAUAAUAUGAAUUUACAACUUUCUUUCGUGGUUCUAACUUUAUUAAUCUGUCAAGAUGUAAGUAUAGCUAGUUAGUUCCAAUUUUAGUAUUACAUUGAGCAGUAAUUAAGAAAGCUAUAGGAAUAAUUUUUUGUACAUGGAAAUAAGUAGAAGCAAAUGUUAUGUGAUAUGUUUUUAUGUGUAUUCGAGUACAAUUUUAUGCACUACUCAUAGUGCAUUCUUCUUCAUAAAAAUAUUUAUAUUAUUGUGAUAUAUUUAACCCCUAUGUGUUUCCCAUUAUUUGUCCAUUAAAAUAAAAAUUAUGACUGUUAUCCAUUACAUCAAGUCAUCGUAUUUGACUUUCUAUCUCUUAUGUGGGGCAUGUAACGACUACAUUUUUCUUUUUCAUUCUUACAUUAAUGUAGCUCAACGGAGCAUUAAUAAUGGGAACUGGAUUGUAAAUGAUACUGUACAACCGACCAUAACAAGCCACUAGAAUCGUUUUUGGGUUCUCGAUUUUCCCACCAAUUUAAGAGGGAUAAUUAUAUUUACGCUAUAUUUUUUUGUUAACCGUCCCACAUUUUAAUUGUAGUGAACUUCCUUAACAUUUGCUCAUUUUCACAAAUACAAUCCUGGGUUUUUUUUUUAAAUCACAUUCUUAUUCUCAAUUUUAUAAUAACAUGCAUGUCUUUUGUGUCUUUGAUUAUGAUUUUCAUCAAAAAAUUUCAUUAAGAUGGCAUAUAAAAAAAUUUAUUUGUCUAUCAUAUUUUUAAAUAAGUAAAAUUUAAAAAAUAUAUAUUUUAAUAAAUAUUAGCCCUUAUUUAACAGAACAUUUGGAUAAAAAUCGUCACUAAAGACAAGAUAUGUUAAUUUAGCCUCAUAUUUGAUAAUCAUUCUUUCAAAAUUCUUUUUUUCUUAUUCAUUUUCAAUCUCACAUUCUCACAAUAAAUCAUUCUUUACGUAAGUUCAAAAAAAAAAAAUUUCUACUUCUUAAACAUACAUUUUCGAAAAAUUAUUAUUCAAAAAUUCGUUCUUUCCAAAAAAUUAUUGUCAAACAAAGGCUUAAAUAAAGGUAAAGGAAAAGAAUGUGGAGGAAAAAAAUUUUGAAAAUAUAACUGAAAAAGUAAUAAAGUAUUGGAACCUUCAUUGUAAUUAUAAUACGAUGCAGACAAUAAAUAAUUGGUAUGAAUAUAAUUACCUUCUAAGACGAUUCAAAAUUUGAAAAAAAAUUAAAUUCCUAAAGAAGACAAAAUAAAUUCACUGUUUCAGAUAUUAAAAAAUCUGGUUGAAAAAAGUAAGUGAUAUCUGGUGAGUAGGAAUGCAUUUAUUGUAUAAAAAGGAAAAAAAUAUUGAAGACAAAACUCAUUUAGAGAAGGGUAAAUUAGUAAAACCGUUUCAAAAUUCAACACCCAAUUCUGAUAAUCAAAUACAAGAUUAUCUUCUCCAAAUUCUGAUAAUCAAAUAUUAUUACCUUCUCCCUCUUCACCCCACCCCCGCCUUAGUGUAUUUAUAUAUAAGUAUUUUAUCAGUUAUGUUGCAGGUUCAGAGUUGGAACACUCCAACCUAUUUCUUGAACAACAAAGGAGCUUCUCUCUCUACCCCUUUUGAUUUCUCUCUCUAGAUUAUUGUGCGAAAAUGGCACAAAAGGAUUUUGGUUGUUUUCAAGAAGGAAUGCUUUGGCCUCCUACACAUACUCUUAACCAUGCAAAUGCCAUUCAUUCUCAGCAGAAGGUCUGUCUAUCAGUCUAUGAAUAUUUUUGAGUUGGAAACUUUAAAAUAUGUUUCCUGUUUUUCGGAAAAAUUAUUUUCUUUUUGUCAAUGAUAUCUGAUUUUUGGGUAACAAAUGGAUUACAUCUUCAAAAAGAUUAGCAUUAUGAUUUUGCAUACGUUACAGAAAUCAAAAAACGUUUUUUUUUUCCCAAUAAAAUUUCAAAGAGAAAUCAUAGAUUCACGUGUAAUUAUGAUUUUUUUUUUAAAUAAUAUUUUGAAUCUUUUUUUUAGAUGGUGUAAAACAUCGAGAUAAAAAAUUAUUUUAAUUAUUUUGUUAUUUUUUUAAUAUAAUAUUAAAUUAAUUAGCAUGAUUAUAUUAUUACGAACCAUCAAAAAAAUAUUUUUCUAUCCAAUGUUUUCACGAUUUUUAUAUCAUACUCUUUUUUUAACAUAUUAAUAAUCAAGAGAGAAAUUAACCUUAAAGCUUUUGGCAUUUGUUUAUUGGCUUGCAGUUGGAGGAGCAGUUUAACUUUCCGACAAGGCAACCACAUCGGCACGGUGAAAAGUAUUCAUCGGUUACAGAAUCACUUCCUCCAUUGGUAUUAACUAUAAACUUUUAAUUUUGCUAUUUUUUAUUUUUUUUUGCUAUGAUUUCUUUUUGUUGUUAACUCUAUUUUCAAUAUCCCGUCUGAAACCUGAAUAAAAGAAGUUGGUGCAGUAGAACAACAAAUAAUUUAAUUUUUUUCUAAGAUUUAUAGUAUUCUUCAAAGUUAAUUUUUCAAUAAAAAUUAAGAAAAUUUUAUUAAUAAUUGAAUAUAAUUUUAAGUGAUUUAAUUAAAAUAAUUUAACAUAUUUUUAGGUACUAUCAAACACAAUUGGAUUGUGGUGCAUAUAUUUUAUUAUUAUUAUUUUUUUACGAAAAUGACAUAUAUUUUGUUUUAAUGGCAUUGCCAUAUUUUGAAGUGCGAUAUUAUUAAAAAGCGAUUUUAAAUUUUUAAACGGUAUCAAAGUUUUUUGGUAUCGUACCUAUCUACGACUCUACGAUGCUCUUCGUGACAGAAAUUCGAAACUUGUAACCUUAAAACUUUGUCACUUUUUCACGAUGUCUUAAACAGUAGGAAUUUCUUUUAUUCUCUUGAGACCAAGAUAAAGUAAAUGAAAGAUCCUAUGCAACAAAGUAUAUAAAGAAACCUAUUCGGUCAUAUUGCACACGUGAUUAAUCUCCUAGUACACGUGGUCGCUAUAAUACCAAAUAAUAAGAACUACGUUGUCAUGUUUUUUCUUUAGUUGAAUUUAAAUUACAAUUAUUUACUUUUCGUUUUUGGAAUAGAUUUUCUUGUAAUGCAUAUUACGUAGCAGUGAAGGAUGUUAUAUAAUUAAUUGUUUCUGAAUUUGGUGGUUUAAAAAUAAAUGUUGCAUAUAUUUAAAACGCUACGAAUUUAAAAUUUAAGAUCCUGACUUCAUUAACGUGUACUAUUCCUUUUAUGGUUUAUUUGGUUGAUUUUAUUUUUUAUUUUUAAUAAUCUACAUCAUAUUUUUCAAUUGUAAAUGAUGAUCACAAAUACAUGUUGCCGCUAUAUGAAUUUUAUAUGGUAAUAGAAAAAAGUCACAUGUACAGACUUUUAUGACAGAAAUUUGACAGGGUACUGUUGUGUCAGCACUCCGCUGGCAGUUUUUCUUCUUCUUCUUCUUUUAGUUUUAAUCUUUAAAUGAAAACCCGUCAAGUGUUGUUUUUUGCAAAAUGUUUGUUGAUUUUUUUUAUUUAUUAUUUUUUUGUACUUAUAGCAUUGUUCAUGGUAAUAAUAUGACUCAAAAUAUUCUAACUAAUCUUUCCGCUCUCUAAUAGCUUCAUCGUCACACAAGAUCGACCCCAAGACCCCAAGGAACAAGAAAUCCCAUCGGACCUGGAAUGCAAGCCAUCUUCCUAGGUUCGAGCCAAAAAUCAUCAGGAACGGGAUUUUUUCUUCCGAGAAGAGGAGACAUCGACUCCCAAUUUAACAAUAAGUCAGGUAUUAUAACACCUCUAGCUACCACUUCAAUGCAGAUAGAAAUGCCAUUUUUCUCAUGGUUUUCCCUACUGUAAGCAGCUUGUUCUCCUGUUCUCCUCCCCGCUCGAGUUGUUCAGACACUCAACCUUAAUGUUCACGAACUCGGCCACCAGAUUAAACCCCACCAAGGUUCUCUCUCUCUCUCUUUCAACCUAUUGCCCAAACCUAUAAUCAUUUCAAAAAAUUAGACAUACAAAGUAUUAAGAACAUGAAAGGUGACACGAUGAUGAUACCAUCUUACUAUUUUGUAUUUUCAUCAAAUCAUUCUUUUUGGAAUAAGUCAUUUGUAUAAUGAAUUUGUACAACAUGCUUGACAAUGGUAUAGGUAUCAAAAAAAUAUUGAUGGAAAAUAUAAAAUAUUUUUCAAACUGUCCAAUGAUAAUCUGUCACGUAGCAUGUUGUCAAACUUAUUGUAAAAAUCAUUGUACAAUAAACAUGAUUCAUUUUUUGUGUUUACUUGCAGAUGUUAAAAAGAGCAUGAAAGGUGACAACAAGAUGGCGAAAUUUAAACGGGGAAAUGAUUGUUCACCAGAGAUUUUUCUCCCCAAGGAAUGGACUUACUAGCUAAAGACAAGAUUUAAUAAAACAGAAGCUCCGCUCUAGACUAGAGCUAUCUAUGAGCUUUACAAUAAUCAUCAAUCUUCUGUAAUCUAAAUAAUAACAGGAUUUACAAUAAUAAUAAAGUGAAUUUCAAUUUUAUCUUUGUUUGUUGCGAUAAUAAUUGAAUUUUAAAUUUUUUCCGAUGCAAAAUUGAUCUUCUACUAUGUAACUAUUGACCUUUACCGUUUGUCUGAUUUUGCUAAAAAUCAUAUUUUUAGUAGAUUUCAAUAAAAAUUGAUGAAGUGUGUAGCUAAAUGUUGAUAAAAGUUAUUAAUCAAUGAAAUUGAUGAUUUAAAUUAAUUAAUUGUUGAAUUUCUCUCUCUCGCUCUUUAAAUGUAAACUAAACGUGAGCUCAGUUUAGGUUCAAAUCUUGUGAGAUGGAUUUUCUUCAAAAUUGCUUAUUGAACUAUUCGUUUCAUUCAACUAAAAAUUGUUUUAAAAGGGUCAUUCAAUUUAACUAUUAUCUCCCUCGCUCUCUAAUUAAGCCCUUGUUUGAUUUUCAUUACAUUACAUUACAUUCUAUUUUUCUCUCUCCUAUUUUCAACCACACAAUCUUCCAUAAAAUAAUAUUACACGUAAAUCGAAAAUUUUUCUUUCUUUUUCAACCACUCAUUUUUCAAAAAACACUAUUCUAUACAUUAAAUUUUCCCCGUAAUGGGGGCCAAACAGGGGCUAAAACUAAUGAAAGCGUAUGCAAAAUACGUUUUUCUUUAAUUCAUAAACGACUUGUGCACGAAGGUUUCUUCAAUUGUCGGAUUUUUUUUAUAGUGUUGUUGGAGUCUUGUUGAAACUUAUUCAUUAUCAAUUUGUUAAUCUGGCCGCAAAAUAUUACAAUUUAAUGUCAAAUUAGCUCCACGUCACUCAUUUAUCUUGGAUCGAAAAUAUACUGCCGUUUGACCCCAGCUCAUGUUUGGCCUCUAUUAAUUUUGAUUAUAAUGGGAGAAUAAUAUAUAUAUAUAUAUUUUUUAAAUGAAUGAUUGUAAAAGAAUAAAAAGUUUUUGAUUUACCUAUAAUAUUAUUUUAUUGAAGAUUGUAUGGUUAAAAAUAAGAAAGAAAAAAUUAAUUUAAAUUGAUGAGAUUCAAUGGGGGCUAAAUUUAUAAUACAAUUUUCUCUCUUCUUUUUAACCACACAUUUUCUAAUAAAAUAAUAUUACACAUGAGUUAAAAAAAUUCCUUUUAUUUCAACCACAUAUUCUCCAAAAAAAAAAACACUAGUUAAAAAAUUAUAACAUUAGAUAAUGAAUUUGUUUAGUGGUACAUAAUAGGAGCUAUUCAUUAUCAAGUCCAAUUUUGAGACGAAUUGAAGAUUGGUAACUGAUAUGAAACAAAUUGAUAAGUUGGGGGACCCCAAUCUUUAAUUUCCGGAAAAAUAUGAAAUAAACCCUUUUAGAUACAUUCUCGUUGCUUUGCUCAACUUAGCAGCACUUCGCCAUGAAAGCCGUUCUUCUCAAUUCUCAAACCCAUCUCUUUACUGGUAUUAAAUUUGUCCUUUUAUUGUAUAUUGAAUAGGCAGUACUUGAGGGAAUUGGACUUUGAACAGUACCACGAACAAGUUUAAUGCUGUCAAUUUCCGUUUGUACCGAACAUAUACUUGCCGGAGUUUCAAUUUUCUCUAAUUUUGUAAUUUCAUAUGGGUUUUAUUAUUAUUAUUAUUAUUUUUUAUUUUUUAUCAUAUCUUGUUCCAAUUUCAUUUGGCUAAAUUUUGGUGUUUUUCUUUGUUUUUAUGCAUGUAGGCAAGCAUGCUGUGCCUAAUCUUCAAAUCUGUAAGCCGCCAUCGUCUGGCACUCAAUUAUCUCUCAGGAAAAGAUCUUCUGAGUUAAUUGGGAGGAGAAUUUAUUUAUUAAAAAAGCAUUCUUUCCGGAAUCGAAUUGAACGGUUUUCGUUCAAACAUUUUUCGGACAAUCUACCAACUGUUUGUAGAAAUGUCAAGGCAGCUGCAGCUGCUGAAUCUUUGAAUUAUGAACAUUUUAUACCAAAGAGUGAUAAUGGACUUGCACAGGAUGUCAAUAAAUUGGAGGUUUCUGAGCCCAGGAGUAUGGCAUUUAGGAAUAAGUUUUUGAAUUUUGUACGGAUUGGUUCCAUAAUUAAUAAUGCUGCAGAAUCGUUUUUUAAGAGUGAGAUAAGGAGGCGGUUGUUUGUAACUUCUGUUUUAUUAGUAAUGAGCCGGGUUGGAUAUUUCAUUCCAUUACCUGGUUUUGAUAGGCGGUUGAUACCGGAAAACUACCUCAGCUUUGUCUCAGGGUCCGUUGGUGAGUCAUUUUUUUAACUCUAUCAUCUUGUCACUUGUAUCUGCAUAGACUGCAUUUAACUGUUAAAUUACAUCCGGUGUUGUUAUGUAUUCUAUUGGUAAUUGUUCUUUUGUAUAUUUUCUGUGUUGACAGGGAAUAAAUCAACUAUAUAUUUCAACUAUUUAUAUGCAUACAUUUUUUCUUCCAUCGAUUGCCCUUACGUCUUCUGUAGUUUAGUAUUUUUGGCAUCACCUUUUCUUAUGAUAUUGUGUUCUUGAACAAAUAGUGUGCUUUUAUUUGUGUUGUAACUUGUGGGAAGAAAUAUCAUACAAAAACGCCACUGACUUUCUUCAAUUGAGUUCUUAUACCAUAUUUUCUUCAAAAAAUUAAAAUAUAAGGGGAAGAAGGGAAAUGUCUAUCUCCAAUGGGAUAGGUAACACUUGAAAUUUUAUCUUAUUUUUAUUUCAAAAAUGAUGGAAGACUGAGUGAUGAGGACUUCACCCGUGUUGGCUCGUGUGUUGCAAGCAUGUGGACGAAGCGCCACUCAGAUGUAUCUUUUUAGUCAUGCUUGAAAAUAUGAAAUUUAAACUGGGUGAGGUAUGGUUAUUUUUCACUCAUUUGCUUCAUCUGAACCUUUACAUGGUUGUAGGUGAACCAUUACAGAAGUGUAUUCCAGAAAGAUUGAGCAUUCACCUCAUCUUGUUUUCUUUUUCCAACAUUUUCUCAUGGAAAAAGGGAUUUCACUAGUUCAAAUUACCCUCUUUCCUUUAUACCUUGCUGUACUUUAUUACUUUUACCUUCAGCCUGCAAUUUUUUAAUUGACAUGCUUGAAAAGAAAUUUCAGUGAACUUUUAUAUUAUUUCUUAAUUUAUUCCAUAAUUGAGCUAAUUUUUUGGCUUCUGGUAGAAUUUUGAAAGCAUUCCUCAAGUUCUUAAGUUGCAUGAUAUUUUAUGACUUUGGCUCAGUAACCUCAGUUUGAACAAAUCAUCAAUUUCAUGGUAAGGAAUGUGCUUUCUAAUUGUCUAAUGUAUUUAAACUGUAUUAAUCUAUUUCAUCCAGGUGGAUAUUGCUAAACACGUAAAUGGAUUAAUGUUUGAUGAAAGGAAGCAUUUUUAAGACAAGGACAGGGACAAUAUUGUAAAUUUGGAUUUUGUACUAAAUUGUUAGUAAAGUGUUCUUGUUAUUUUUAUUUUUUCAUACUAUAGUAAUAAUCAAUUUGUUUCUCAUAGAGAUUGAUUUAAAGAUUUGUUAUUUGAUGGUUUAAAAAUGCAUGAUGUAAAUUCAUGUCCAUAUCAUCUUGUAUUCUCAUUCAGUGUUUAAACAAAUUGAUGUCAUGCUAAAUGCUGAGAUGUAUUGGGCAGUUGUAUUAGGGAUUUGAAUGAAGUGAGCCACUUGUAAUGGGAUAACCGAUAACUUAAGGCUUGGUGUCAAAUUCAUUCCUCUUUAAAUGUCUCUUCAUUUAACGGUUUUGCAG